GACGAACGCUGGCGGCGUGCCUAAUACAUGCAAGUAGAACGCUGAAGAGAGGAGCUUGCUCUUCUUGGAUGAGUUGCGAACGGGUGAGUAACGCGUAGGUAACCUGCCUUGUAGCGGGGGAUAACUAUUGGAAACGAUAGCUAAUACCGCAUAACAAUGGAUGACACAUGUCAUUUAUUUGAAAGGGGCAAUUGCUCCACUACAAGAUGGACCUGCGUUGUAUUAGCAAGUAGGUGAGGUAAUGGCUCACCUAGGCGACGAUACAUAGCCGACCUGAGAGGGUGAUCGGCCACACUGGGGCUGAGACACGGCCCAGACUCCUACGGGAGGCAGCAGUAGGGAAUCUUCGGCAAUGGGGGCAACCCUGACCGAGCAACGCCGCGUGAGUGAAGAAGGUUUUCGGAUCGUAAAGCUCUGUUGUAAGUCAAGAACGGGUGUGAGAGUGGAAAGUUCACACUGUGACGGUAGCUUACCAGAAAGGGACGGCUAACUACGUG
rnacentral:rRNA from 1 species